CCCAAGCAGCCCGUAGGAUGGCCUUGGUGGUGACCAUCACGCCACUUGACAGACGGAAAAACUAAGACUUGGAGAGGCAAGAAUUCCCCAGUGACUCUGUGUGUUUGGGACACACAUGUCUGAUGUUUUGUUUGGCUGGGGUCACACGGGACUUCCCUUUCGACACCUCCGUGACCGACUCUUCCUUCUGUCCUCACCUCCACUGCACAGAACCUGGCCGAUCACACCAGGGAGGACACCAUUAGCGCUGUGGGUCCUUGAACCUGUGUCAGAGUGCCAGGCAGCCAGGCAGCUCGCACACACUCCCACCAACCCUGCCUCACCCCUCUCCUCCCCCUCCUGAGGUUAACUCUUCAUUUGCUUGAGUUGCACUGAGACCGCAAGGAGGAAGAACAAGCAGGGGACCCCUCCUACCACCAGCGAUGGGGUUCAUACUAAUGUGUGACCCGGUCUUGCUGGACACUUGUGCCCGACAAAGGACCAGCAGGAAGACACUGAGGCUCUGAGAAGAUCUGGGCGAGGGGUCCGCUGUCAUCUUAGCCUGAAGUCGACAGCCUGGGCCUGCAUGUAGCCCUUCUGCUUCUACGACGUGGGACAUUGAGACACCAGCUUCCCCUUUCUGAACCUCAGUGUGCCACCUAGAAGGUACAGAGUGUGGUGACGACGUGCUGUAAUGCAAGUAAAACACUGAGCAGGCUCCCUGGGUGUGCCUGUCCUCAACACCGUCAUCACCAUCAUUGUCAUCAUUGUCAUCAUCGUCGUCAUUGUCAUCACGGCGGGCCUACUUCUUCCAUUCUUGCUCCCAGUACAGCCGGCGGACCGGCAGCCUGAUUCCUCUCCCUGGUGUCUUUUGGGCCUGGGUGUCUGUUCCCUGUGGCGUUGAGCUUGGAGUCUGAUU